GACAAGGGGAAUCUUUUGCAGUGUUACAUGUUGUCAUAAUUUCUCUGAUUACUACCGUAGGUAAUGUGCGGAGAGGAUGAAAUACAACUUAACAGAAACAUGCAGCUUCAGCUUUGCCUGUACCAAAGGACCUAUUGGAAGUAACUUGGGCAUUGAAAAUAACAGUCUCUAGAGAAUGAGGAAAUUGGCUUCCCUGUCUGAAGUUGGUUGGAUGCUAAAUAAAUCAUUACUGCCCGUAAAAGUUUGGCGGAAAAUUGGGAAGAUCUCAAGGAAGAAUAACAAUAACUGCAGGUAAAUUUAUGAAGAGGAUGGAAUGAAACUGGAAAGGAAAAGUGCAGCUUGCCGAUGGUAGAACUGUUAAUUCUUCUUAACCUCCACGUUCAGAUGAGAAGAGUUAUGGAUGAGAGCAGCAGAAAGUUACCAUGAUCAGUUACAUACACUUUGGCCCAAUUGUUUCCUUUUUUUUUUUAAUUAAGAAGAAUUCUGAAACCAUUUUUUAUUCUUUAAUUGUCGAGAACAAAGUCUUGGCUUGGUUGCAACAAAUAAGUAAAUCUUAUUUGC